rnacentral:rRNA from 1 species
GUAGGGCGCAAGCGUUGUCCGGAAUUAUUGGGCGUAAAGAGCUUGUAGGUGGCUUGUCGCGUCUGCCGUGAAACCCGAGGCUCAACCUCGGGCGUGCGGUGGGUACGGGCAGGCUAGAGUGUGGUAGGGGAGACUGGAACUCCUGGUGUAGCGGUGAAAUGCGCAGAUAUCAGGAAGAACACCGAUGGCGAAGGCAGGUCUCUGGGCCAUUACUGACACUGAGAAGCGAAAGCAUGGGGAGCGAACAGGAUUAGAUACCCUGGUAGUCCAUGCCGUAAACGUUGGGCACUAGAUGUGGGGAACAUUCCACGUUUUCCGCGUCGUAGCUAACGCAUUAAGUGCCCCGCCUGGGGAGUACGGCCGCAAGGCUA